AUUAUUUUCGAAAUUAGCGUUACAGGCAGUGUUUCACAGUCUAAAACUUCUGAAAUUUAUUCGAAGAAAGUUUUCAUAAUGGUAAGAUACGGAUAAUUUCAUGAAUUAAAUCCGAAGGAUUCUGUAAAUGGAACACAUUCCCUUCCCAAUCGAGAUUCGAAAUGAUGGGUUUUCUCUUUGUGGUUUGGAAAUUGAUCGGAAAAAUCCUAGAUUCAUUUAUAUAUGCCCGAAUCACUUCAACUGGAUAUAAUUUGUGAUAAGAUUAGUAAACGUUAGCCCAUUGCCCUUCCAACUCCAUACAUUUGAGAGCAAAGAGACUAAGACUUCAAGCACUUCUCUGAUUAAAAGUAUGAGUACUUUAUCAGAGGACACUUUUCCGAAGAGGAAACCUAGGGCAAAAUUAGUUACCAAUUAUUUUGUUGUUAUGAUACCUACAUACAAUAUACAUGAGUAAAACCUCCAGACCCUCCCCAACCUUUUGAAAAGAAGCAUCAGAAGAAAUUGUUCAAUCAGAGAAAAUAUUUACAGAGAAAACAUUGAACCUAAAGUUUCUGCAAUCAAACGAAGUAGAAAAACCUAUGUUUGGGACAUGGCUGAAGAAGAAUUCAGUUCGGAUAAAACAAGGCCAAACUUCAUAUUCAUGAGGAGAACUAUUUUUCGCUUCGGAGUAAUGUUCAUUCUGUAGUCGAAGCUAUGGAACUUGAAUAAUCUGCUAUAUUUCAGAGUAAAUCCUUUCAUCACAGUCAUCUAUAAGUGCUUCUAAGGCUCCUCUUUCUGGUAAAGGAAUAAAUGUUUGAGAGGAAGUUGAAAGACCUAUCAACACAGAUAUACAGUCCUGCAUUGAGAUCAUUUACUUUGACAUUCUAAUCCCCAAGAGCUAAUUAUUUUGCACGCAUUCCAUUCAACAAAAAUGUUUGAAAUAUAAAUUGAUUGUGAGUGUUUUGGCCAGGGAGUUAAAGAAUAUUUGUGUAUGCUAUUUCUUUUCAUUAUCUUUCAAAUUUUGGUAAUUAUUAACUGACAAUGAGACAUUGGUGUUUUUUUUAUCAUAUAACAUCAUUUUUGUUCUUAAUAAAGAUUUUUAUAUA